GAACUCAUAAACUAAAUGUUUAACAAUCCAUGCUUUGUGUGAUAAAACAUGUAUGGAUAACUUGAGUACAUUUUUCAUCCCAAAUGAUAAUGGAAAAUGGAAAACUAGCAUUUAAUAUCUACCCUUUGUGUGUAUGCAUAUGUUUGUGUACAAAAUGUACAUUUAUCAGAUAAUCUUCAGCCAUUGUCGAUUGUUGAUAGAUUUAGAAACAAUUUGACCAAAAUUUUGCUCUGAAAUAACUCAGUUUUGGAUUCUUAAAGUGGUCACAAUUGAAGGUCAAAUCAUGUCCUACAAGUUACUUUUGUUUUGGAAUGAAUAUUAAAAUUGUACAGCAGAAAAGUUUUACAGGCAUGACUCAGUUUCCUUUACAUUUCCAGUUUAAAAAAGAAUUGCAUAAUUACUUGACAUGUUUCAUUUUCAUACACACCUCCUUUGAUUCUUUCCAACUUGCACCAAUAAGGCGUUUAUGAGUUAUUAUAUUAUUUCCACUGAAAGUAGCAUCAUGUUAUCCUUUCACUUUUUGUAAGAUUUUUUGUGUCUUGUUCUGUAUAGGUUUAUUGUAUUGUCUCAUGGAAAAGAAUGGCCAACUUUAACUGUUAAAUAGUUUUUUUAAUGAAAACAUUACUGGUUAUUUUAAUGACACUAUCUUGGGCAGGCGUCAGUUUUCAGUUGCCGAUCAAUAACUUAAAUAUUCCCGAACCUGCCGAUAUUCAUACAAAUACUUGCAAUUUUGGAAGUUUACUUUAAGUAAUACUAGUAAUUUGAAAUUGAUACCCAGCCUUUCAGUUACUAAAAUCAAUGUUAUUUUGUCUUCUUUAAAAUAGUAUUUAUAAAUAUGCAGGUGGUUUUGCUCUAUUUAUAACAUGCAUUCACAAACUUGUGAUGAAGGAAAAUGUUUAUCUAAAUACUCAGUUUGUUCAUGCUGACUUACGUUUAAUAGGUCAGUGCCACUGCCAUAUAUUUUUAAAAGGGUUGGUUAUCAGAACUGUUAUUUUUUUACAAAGUGCUCUGAGUGAGCUAUUGUAUAAUACUUUUUUAUUUUAAUGAAUAUUCUAAACAACGAGUUCUGUGUUUUAAGAAAUCAUUUAAUAAAUUCUUCUUAAUGUAUAAAUAUAUUUUAGAAAAUACAAUACUGUUCUAGCCGUCAAUAGUCAAAUUUCUAGAAUCUCUGAAACCAAAAUGCUUAGAUAUUUGGCAUGAAUCAUGUUCUUAUAAGACCCCUAUUGAAUGUGAAAUAGUUUCAGCCUGUAGAAAAACUUUUUUUUUAGGUAAGCAUGUUUUCAGAAUGGACCAGUAGUAUAGUGUGGAUCCAAGAAUGGACCAGUGGUCUAGUGUGUUUUAGAAUAUUCAGGUAGUAUAGUGUGGAUCCAAGAAUGGACCAGUGGUCUAGUGUGUUUUAAAAUAUUCAGGUAGUAUAGUGUGGAUCCAAGAAUGGACCAGUGGUUUAGUGUGUUUUAGAAUAUUCAGGUAGUAUAGUGUGGAUCCAAGAAUGGACCAGUGGUCUAGUGUGUUUUAGAAUAUUCAAGUAGUAUAGUGUGGAUCCAAGAAUGGACCAGUGGUCUAGUGUGUUUUAGAAUAUUCAGGUAGUAUAGUGUGGAUCCAAGAAUGGACCAGUGGUCUAGUGUGUUUUAAAAUAUUCAGGUAGUAUAGUGUGGAUCCAAGAAUGGACCAGUGGUUUAGUGUGUUUUAGAAUAUUCAGGUAGUAUAGUGUGGAUCCAAGAAUGGACCAGUGGUCUAGUGUGUUUUAGAAUAUUCAAGUAGUAUAGUGUGGAUCCAAGAAUGGACCAGUGUUCUAGUGUGUUUUAGAAUAUUCAGGUAGUAUCGUGUGGAUCCAAGAAUGGACCAGUGGUCUAGUGUGUUUUAGAAUAUUCAGGUAGUAUAGUGUGGAUCCAAGAAUGGUCUAGUGUGUUUUAGAAUAUUCAAGUAGUAUAGUGUGGAUCCAAGAAUGGACCAGUGGUCUAGUGUGUUUUUUAGAAUAUUCAGGUAGUAUAGUGUGGAUCCAAGAAUGGACCAGUGGUCUAGUGUAUGUUUUCGAAUAUUCAGGUAGUAUAGUGUGGAUCCAAGAAUGGACCAGUGAUCUAGUGUGUAUUUUAGAAUAUUCAUGUAGUAUAGUGUGGAUCCAAGAAUGGACCAGUGGUCUAGUGUGUAUUUUAGAAUAUUCAGGUAGUAUAGUGUGGAUCCAAGAAUGGACCAGUGGUCUAGUGUGUAUUUUAGAAUAUUAAGGUAGUAUCGUGUGGAUUCAAGAAUGGACCAGUGGUCUAGUGUAUGUUUUAUAAUAUUCAGGUAGUAUAGUGUGGAUCCAAAAAUGGACCAGUGGUCUAGUGUGUAUUUUAGAAUGGACCUGUAGUAUAGUGUGGAUCCAAGAAUGGACCAGUGGUCUAGUGUUUUUGUAAGAAUAUUCAGGUGGUAUAGUGUGGAUCCAAGAAUGAACCUAUGGUCUAGUGUAUGUUUUAGAAUAUUCAUGUAGUAUAGUGUGGAUCCAAAAAUGGACCAGUGGUCGAGUGUAUGUUUUAGAAUAUUCAGGUAGUAUAGUGUGGAUCCAAGAAUGGACCAGUGGUCUAGUAUAUGUUUUAGAAUAUUCAGGUAGUAUAGUGUGGAUCCAACAAUGGAACAGUGGUCUAGUGUGGCUCAUUGGGUCAUUGUCCACCUGAAAUGGCUUGAAGUCACCCGUGGGUGACUAGAAGCCGAUUCAUGGUACCCUGGGGUGACUUCAAGCCGACGCUAGUCACCCCCGGGUGACUAGAAUCGGCUUCAUGUCACCCCAGGGUGACAUGAAUCGGCCUGAAGUCACCCUAGGGUGACAAGAAUCGGCUUCUAGUCGCCCCCGGUAAAGACUUGUCACAAAAUUGCCUACAUCUGUUUUUAUCAUUCAAUGUGAUUAAAACUGAGGAAUUGCGUCUGUCGUGAGCUGUUUUUUUGUAACUUUUACAAAGAUGUCAUGAAAACAAAAAAUAAAUGUAUUUCUUUA